UCCGGAAACCGGGUAGGCUAAUACCGCCAUAGUUUUCUUUGAGUCGCAUGAUCGGGAAAGGAAAGACGGCCUUUGUGCUGUCGCUUAUGGAUGGACCCGCGGCGUAUUAGUUAGUUGGUGAGGUAACGGCUCACCAAGACGAUGAUACGUAGCCGACCUGAGAGGGUGAUCGGCCACAUUGGGACUGAGACACGGCCCAAACUCCUACGGGAGGCAGCAGUAGGGAAUCUUCCGCAAUGGACGAAAGUCUGACGGAGCAACGCCGCGUGAGUGAAGAAGGGUUUUUUCCGGAUCGUAAAACUCUGUUGUCAGAGAAGAACAAGUUGGAGAGUAACUGCUCCAGCCUUGACGGUAUCUGACCAGAAAGCCACGGCUAACUACGUGCCAGCAGCUGC
rnacentral:rRNA from 1 species